rnacentral:misc_RNA from 1 species
GAGAGAUUGCACCAAGGAUUUUAGGGUUAAAAUGAAAUGUGUUAUAUAUGUCCACUCCGCUGAUAAGUAAGAGCCAUAUCGUAACAAUUGGGGCAAAAAUAAACCCAAUUUUACGGGUCCCAUAGUGCUGCAGAAUGAAAAGGCAGGCCAAAAUAGCACAUGCAAAUGCAACUGGUACAUAUCUUUCAAUAGCAUCUGAUAAGAAACGCUGUGUCUGCGGUGAAGAUGAGUAUUUAAUUUUUGACAAUGCUUGUUAAAGACCAGAGGAAGCUGAUAAUACUGAAAUG